GCAAACUUGGUCAUUUAGAGGAAGUAAAAGUCGUAACAAGGUUUCCGUAGGUGAACCUGCGGAAGGAUCAUUAAAGAUUCGAGCUUCGGCUCUAACCUUUCAGCUGUGCGCUUCGGCUGCACGCUGUAAACUCUCACACCUGUGCACCUUUUCGGUUGCGGCGCUCGCGUCGCUUCCGCUUCACAUCUUACAACAAGUCUAGAAUGUACAAACCAUAUUAAAAUACAACUUUCAACAACGGAUCUCUUGGCUCUCGCAUCGAUGAAGAACGCAGC
rnacentral:misc_RNA from 1 species